CUCUAACUAUAAAUAAAUAGUAUUAGAAGUGAGAGUCAUCUUAUUUCAUACUUCUUUUGGAUGGAACCUUGUUGAUGCUAAGCAUUGUAGCUUCUAACUUCUCUUUCUUCAAUAAAAAGUUUGAUUACCAAAAAAGACAAUGUAUCAAAAAAUAAGUUUUUUUUAGCUACAAUAGAAAUUGUGCAACUUAAAUCUUGUACAAUAUCUAGUAAAGGUCUUAUUUUUUUUAAAAUUCUUCACCUUGAUUUACAUUAGAAGUUUGUUUAGAAUUAAAAA
rnacentral:lncRNA from 1 species